rnacentral:rRNA from 1 species
AUACAGAGGGUGCGAGCGUUAAUCGGAAUUACUGGGCGUAAAGCGCGCGUAGGCGGUUACUUAAGUCAGAUGUGAAAUCCCCGGGCUCAACCUGGGAACUGCAUCUGAUACUGGGUAGCUAGAGUUUAGGAGAGGGAAGUAGAAUUUCAGGUGUAGCGGUGAAAUGCAUAGAGAUCUGAAGGAAUACCAGUGGCGAAGGCGGCUUCCUGGCCUAAAACUGACGCUGAGGUGCGAAAGCGUGGGUAGCAAACGGGAUUAGAAACCCCAGUAGUCC